AGGGUUCGAUUUGGCUCAGGAUGAACGCUAGCUACAGGCUUAACACAUGCAAGUCGAGGGGUAGCAGGGUAGCAAUACCGCUGACGACCGGCGCACGGGUGAGUAACACGUAUCCAACCUUCCCAUAACUCAGGGAUAGCCUUUCGAAAGAAAGAUUAAUACCUGAUAGUACUUUUUCAAGGCAUCUUGAGAAAGUUAAAGAUUUAUUGGUUAUGGAUGGGGAUGCGUUCCAUUAGAUAGUUGGUGAGGUAACGGCUCACCAAGUCUUCGAUGGAUAGGGGUUCUGAGAGGAAGGUCCCCCACAUUGGUACUGAGACACGGACCAAACUCCUACGGGAGGCAGCAGUGAGGAAUAUUGGUCAAUGGGCGAGAGCCUGAACCAGCCAAGUAGCGUGAAGGAUGAAGGUCCUAUGGAUUGUAAACUUCUUUUAUAGUAGGAUAAAGUGAUCCACGUGUGGAUUUUUGUAUGUAUACUAUGAAUAAGGAUCGGCUAACUCCGUGCCAGCAGCCGC
rnacentral:rRNA from 1 species